CAAAUCACGUUGAAACAUUGGUUCCCGUACGAUCACUGAAGUUAAGCAACGUCGAACCUGGUCAGUACUUAGAUGGGUGAGCGCUUGGAAAUAUCAGGCGCUGUAAG